UCUAAAUAUCAAUUGCCCACCCACCAUCCGCCCGUCUAUCCCUUACCCCAUCCACACAUGUGGGGGGGCACCUAUAAUGUUGAGGAUGCCUUGGCAGUAGCUGGAACAUAACAAAGCCCAAGACAACUCCCUCCCUGCUCCCAACCUCCCCCCAGGCAGACAGAACUGCUCUGUUUACACUGGCUGCUAUGCACCCCCACUGGCCUCUGCUCUGGCUGUGCCCUCAUCGUGGGUACUGGGAGCCCCCAGGAAGGAACUGCAGGCCUGGUGAAAUGGUGAAGAAAGCGAAGGAGCUGAAGGAGGCUUUGUCUCCCCUGGGGCAAUGGGAGGAUGAAACUGGAGGCUAGUAGCUAAAUUAGCACUCAGUCAGAUUGGAUCCAUCCUGGACAGAGCAAGAAGGUGGAGGAAACACUGUCUGGUUGUUCCCCAGAGGGCAAAAGUCCAUCAUGGAAUGGAAGCAUGGCCAUAGAAGGAAGCUGAGAGCUCACAUCCUCAGCCACAAGCAAGAAACAGAGAGAACAAACUGGAAGUAGCACCAGGAAAUCUCAAAUGUCACCUAAGCCUCUUCAAACAGUGCCACCAACUGAGGGCUAAGUAUUCCAAUGCCUA